rnacentral:SRP_RNA from 1 species
UCGUGCUACACGGGGAGCUAGCGGUGCCCUGUACCCGCAAUCCGCUUUAGCGGGGUGGAAUUCCCGCCCGAGGUUCGUCCCGCCGCGACCUGGGCGCUGCCGCGAGCGUUGAAGGCCGGGUCCGGCGCAAUCGAAAGCCUGCGAACCCCGCCAGGUCCGGAAGGAAGCAACGGUAAGCGGGGGGACGAUGUGCCGCACGGGUGCCUGGCCGGAGCCGGCGGCGGCGUGUCCGCGUAGGCGGGCGUAUCGACGGCGGGUGCACGA